CGGGACGGACGAGAUGGGAUGCUCCAGGCUGCAGCCAUACCCGUCUCGACUGAUCAGCUGCUGGCCAUGUGGUUAUUUUUCCGUGCUUUUGGAGGGCAUUUCUUCUCAAAACAUACGAGACAUCACAUCUACUCCUGGGAGCAUUGCUACUCCCCCCACAAAGCUCUGUCUCAUUCAGAUACAUAUUAUAUAGUGAGGAGUUUGGAAGGUGCAGUUCCACUGAAUCAACGUGUAUGUCUCAGCUGGACGAGGACACUCCAAAGCUCCAGGAGCUGUUCCCUUUGAACAGAGGAGAGGGGUUGGUCAGUGCAUCAACAACUUGUUUAUGGAGCUGAUACAGAAACGUGCAGAUAGCAGUGUGCAUGAGGACCUGAUGCUCUGUGCUUGCCAUGAACCAAAGCCGUGGAGAAGAGAGAGAAACCCGGUGCUUCCAGAUCUCUGCAGUCUGGCCAGAGCAUGCUGCUUUGUCCUCAGGGUGACACGCGUGCUGAAUCUUCAGGAUCAAUGCAAAGUUUGAGAACUUAUGAGGUAUUUUUUUGGGGGAC